UCUACGUAAAUUAAGGGUGAAAAAGGAAAUUUGUAAAUUUCUUUCACGAUGCUCACUCUCUUAUCACAUUUUAUCACUUUCACAACGAUUCAAAUGUUUUUCUUCGAUCCUUUUUUGUUCCUUUUCAGCCAUAUUAUAACGAUUCAUGGGUGAUUCAAAGAUUAAUUGAUUCAGCGAUACAUAAUCUUCUUCUUUGCUGAUUUGUUCAUCGAUUCAGAAAUCUAUAGUGGUGCUCAAAAUCCGUGGGAAUCGAUUGUGAGGUUUUAGCUUACUCUCCUCUUCCAUUUGCAGAUCUUAUUUUCCACUCUCCGUCUCUCUUUAUCACUCCGGUCAGAUCCAGGAAACAGUUUACCGAAAAAGAUCAUCGUGUGCUACUUUUCUCAUCAAUUUUGGCACCACGGAGAAAGAUAAUGUUCAAUGGCAAUUCGUUCAAUUUUCCAGACUCCAAGAAUGUAGUUCUGAAUACCAAAGGUUAUAACAUAUUUUGAAGCAACCUGAACCUAGUACUUGGUGAAUGGAUCUCAUGGGCAAAGUAUGUCAAUGGUUUUCUGUUCCUUUUUGUGAAUUUUGGAACAAACUCUGGUAGAAGUUGAAAAUCAUAAAUGAGAAACAUUCGAAGCUGAGAAGACUUCCACUAAGGCUCUUUGUCAGGCAAAAGCAUUAUCAAGCUUGUAGUCUCAAGAACUUACAUUCUAUAAAUCUCCAAGAACAAGAAAAUUGUUGGAUUUGAUAACGAAAAAGCCUCUAUGCUACAGUGAAAGAACUUGUUGAGAAUUUGAUUGAUUCUGCAAGUCCAUAUUUGAGCUUCCCUUGUGGAGAUUACCAUUAAAGAGAUAGGAAAAAGAAAAUUCAAUACUAUGAUUGGUCUUGUUGACCGGGAUCGUGUUGAUGCGGAACUUUAUGAUGAUUAUGUGGCAGCUAAGGCUGGUGAGAUUCAUUUAGUGUUUCAGCUUCUGCAACAACUCCAAGGGAAUUAGUUUCAUCGAAGAUUUUCUAUGUCGUUAAAGAUAAAUGAGCAGUGAAAUCAAGACUCAUAGAAGGCUAGAGAUCAAAAGCUGAUAGAGUUGAAGCAUAAAUAAAUUAGCUUAAAUAUAUAAAUUAUGAAUUUGUGGGUGCUUUUUUAACUUGAGAUAUCAAUUUAAGGAUAUAAAUUAAAUGUUAUGAUAUUUAAAUUUUUGUUCAAUUUAACAUUUAGCUUGAGUUUCACUAAA